rnacentral:tRNA from 1 species
GCCCGGAUGGUCUAGUGGUAUGAUUCCUGCUUCGGGUCUUGGAAUGCAGGAGGCCCCGCGUUCGAAUCGCGGUUCGGGCC